rnacentral:lncRNA from 1 species
CGCAACUUUCCUGCCCGCCGCCUCCUCCCCGGUGCAGUCGGGCUGCGCGGGGAGGCGGCACCGGCACCCGGCACCGCGGGUCUCUCCCGCAGUGCCAGCCUCUCGGAGAAGGAGCUGAAGGAGGCGAAGGCGCAGAGCCAGAGGAUCGCGGCUCAGCUCACCACGGCGCCCGGCCCCAGCUCCAAGGGUGUCCUGCUGUUCCACCGGCGCAGGCAGCGCGUUGAGGGGCUCACGGGGGCCGGGCAUGGCGGGGGGCUGCCCCUGAGCC